UACUGAAUUUCAUGGGCCACCAAACGGGC
rnacentral:sRNA from 1 species